rnacentral:lncRNA from 10 species
AGGCCUCCCCAGCCUGAUGGAAUACCAUGCCUUUCCUAUGUGGAUAAUCAGCAAAGCUGAGGACAUCGGGAAGCAACUCAGGAUUGCCAGUUUACAGCUCUUCUGGAUGUGCACUGGUUAAUGCAUGGAAUUCAGCAACAGCAGACUUUGUUCCUUUGAUGGAUCCAGAAGAUCGCCACAUCAAGGAAUAUGGUGGUAAAACUGCAAGAUAAUCUGCCACCCCUAACAACUAUAGAAGUUCUAAGGAUGUUAGAGACUCAUAGAGAGGAAUUCUAAUGGCCAUACUUGAACCGUUGCAGCAAUACACUCAGAAGAUUGGUGAAAGAAAAGAAAGGCAUUUUGAAAGUGAUUUUCAAAAAACAGUUAAUCCAGAAUUCCAUAUUUAGCAAAAUUAUACUUCAAGAAUGAAUGUGACAUGAUAAUGUGGAGAGAUGUCCAAAUUUCUACCAAAGCAAUGCUGUUCUGUCCGCAGUAGGCAGUUUGUGUGGAGGUCCAGGGGCCCAGCCAGGGGUAGAUGAUGAGAUGAUCCUUACAGGUUGAAAAAGCCAUAGGUUGCAGCUGAUGAUUCUGUAGAAAGGCCUAAAAUUAAUUUUAGAAAAGCAUACUCAAGACAAUAGACUAUUAUUACACGGAUAAAAAAGAUAAGAAUAAAGAGUGUAAACACGUUACCAAAGUGAAUUCUUGAAAUGGAAGAGAAACUUGGCCUUCUUUAGCUUCACCAUUUGUUCCUGCCUUCCACCUCCAAUAAUAGUAUAUGUCUCAAUCCUUGUCUAUACUCCAAAUUUGAAUUGUAUAAUUAAAUUGGUUAAAACUU